CUGGCACUGAACUGGUGGAUACCUGUCCAGAAUCGUCCUCGUGAACCUCCUCCGGACUCUCUCCAAUGACAACACAUCCUUUCUGAGAUAUGGAUCCCAAAUCUGUUGACAAUACUCCAAAUGCAGCGUGACUGGUAUCUUACAAAGCUUCAACAUUAUCUCCUUUUCAAACGUUUUCUGAAAAUCGAAGUAAAUGACAUCCACUGCCUGUCCUUUGUCCAGCUUGCCUGUUACUUCCUCAAAGAUCUCUAGCAGAUUUGUCAGGCAAGAUUUCCCUUCACAGAAACCAUGUUGACUUGAUUUAUUUUAUCAUUAGUCUCCAAGUACCUCAUCGUUAAUAAUAGAUUCCAACAUUUUCCCAUUCACUGAGGUUAGGCUAAUUGGCCUAUAAUUUCCUUUCUUUCUCUCUCCCUACCUUUGGUGCUCCUCUCCCUUUCCUUUCUUUCGUGGCCUUCUAUCUUUGCAUAUCAGAUUCCCCCUUCUCCACCCUGUGUCUCUAUCACCAAUCAACUUCCCAGCUCUUUACUUCACCCCUGCUCCCCAGGUUUCACCUAUCACCUUGUGGGCCUUCCUCCACUCCCCUCUCUUUCUUAUUCUGAUUCCUCAUCUUUCUUUCCAGUCUUGAUGAAGGGUCUCAGUCCAAAACAUCAACUAUACUCUUUUCCAUAGAUGCUGCCUGGCCUGCUGAGUUCCUCCAGCAAUUUGUGUAUGUCGGUUGAAGGGAUGAAGCUGUUCUUGAACCUGGUGAAGUGGGAUGUUAGGUUAAUGGUACCAAUGGCAGAACCUACCCAAUGGUAACAGCUAGGAGAUGGCAUGGCUUGGAUGGUGGGGAUCAUUAAUGACAGAUGUUGCCUUCUUGUGGCAGCACCUCAUGUAGCUAUUAUCAGUGGUGGGAAGGAAUGUACUGAGCAGAGUGCGCUAUGCUCUGCAGCUACUUAGGUUUCUGAACGUUGAAUUGCCAUACCACACCAUGAUGCAACCAAACAGGAUACUUUCAAUGGCAAGGCACCUGACUAACCAGAAUCCGGUUUAUUAUCACUGGCAUAUGUUGUGAAAUUUGUUAACUCUGCGGCAGCAAUACAAUGCAAUACAUGAUAGUAGAAAGAAAAAUACUGUGAAUUCCGGUAAGUUUAUAUAGUUAAAUUAAGUAAGUAGAGCAAAAAAAAAUUAGGGAGUUAGUAUUCGUGGCUGCAAUGUCCAUUCAGAAAUUGGAUGGCGGAAGGAAAGCAGCAGUUCCUGAAUCACUGAGUGUGAGCCUUCAGGCUUCUGUACCACAUUCCUGAUGGUAGCAAUGAGAAGAGAGCAUGUCCUGGGUGGUGGGGGUCCUUAAUGAUGGACGCCACGUUUCUGACACACCGCUUAUUGAAGACUAAUGUUUUUCAUCCAGCUCAAAGCCCAAAAAUGAUUACACCGUGGAUUCCCCAGUGCAAAUGCAACCCUGAUACAGAAUGCAGAAAUGGGCUGGGAGUAGUGCACUAACAAAUUUGUGAUCCAGCUGAGCCUCUGCAUUUAGAAUCAUAGAAUAAUUUAAUUUAGUAAUGUGGUAUGGUAACAAGCCCUUCGGCCCAUCUAGUCCAUGCAAGUCAAGGUGCCCAUCAAAGCUUGUCCCACUGCACACAUUUAACCCAUAUCUCCCUGAACCUCUCCGAUCCUUUGUUCUGUUUCAUAGCAACACUGUGACCGCCUCAACCUCUUUGUAAAAUUGCCUUUGUUUUGUUUUUGUUUGUUCUAAUUGCCUUCUUUCUUGUACAAUUGCAUAUAAUUUAUGCAUAGUUUAUGUUUUUCUUGCAAAUGUUGUGUAUCUGAUGUUACGUGCCUGUGAUGGUGCUGUAAAUAGGCUGUUCAUUGUGCUUUUGCAUUCACUUACCUGUGCAUAUGACAAUAAACUUGACAUCAAACUACCAGGUUCAGGAACAGUGAUUACCCCUCAACCAUCAGGCUCUUGGACCAGAGGUGAUAACAUAAGACUAUAAGAUAUAGGAGCAGAAGUAGGCUAUUUGCCCCAAUGUGUCUGCUCUUCCAUUUCAUCAUGGCUAAUCCAUUUUCCUCUCAAUCCCAAUCUCCUGCCGUUUCUCCGAAUCCCUUCAUGCCUUGAGAAAUCAGAAGUCUAUCAACAUCUGCCCUAAAUAUACCCAAUGACUUGGCUUCCACCAGAACUUGGGGCAGUGAAUUCCACAGAUUCAUCACCCUCUGGCUAAUGAAAUCCCUCUUCAUCACCACUCUAAAUGGAUACCCCUCUAUCUUGAGGCUGCGUUUCUGGUUUUAGACUCCCCCACUAUAGGAACCAUCCUCUCUACAUCCACUCUGAAGCCUUUCAACAUUUGAUAGGCUUCAAUGAGAUCACCACCCUCACUCCUGAAUUCCAGUGAUUAUACGACCAGAUCAAGUAUUCCUCAUCUGUUAAGCCUUUCAAUCCCAGAAUCAUGUUCAUGAAUCUCCUUUGAACCCUCUCCAAUGUCAACACAUCCUUUCUUAGAUAAAUGGCCCACUCAGCCUCACUCAACUUCACUUGCCCGAUCAUUCAACUAUUCCCACAACCUAUGGACUCACUUUCAAGGACUCUUCAUAUCAUGUUCUCAAUGUUUGUUGCUUAUUUAUUUAUGUUUUGUAUUUGCACUUUGUUGUCUUCUGCAUACUGGUCGAAUGCCCAAGAUGGCAUAGACUUUCACUGAUACUAUUAUGGUUAUUAUUCUAUUGUGGAUUUAUAGAGUAGCCUGCAAGAAAAUGAACCCUCAUGGUUGUAUCUGGUGACAUAUGUGUACUUUGAUAAUAAAUUUACCUUGAAUCUCAUGUAA